GAUGAACGCUGGCGGCGUGCCUAAUACAUGCAAGUCGAGCGAACGGACGAGAAGCUUGCUUCUCUGAUGUUAGCGGCGGACGGGUGAGUAACACGUGGAUAACCUACCUAUAAGACUGGGAUAACUUCGGGAAACCGUAGCUAAUACCGGAUAAUAUUUUGAACCGCAUGGUUCAAAAGUGAAAGACGGUCUUGCUGUCACUUAUAGAUGGAUCCGCGCUGCAUUAGCUAGUUGGUAAGGUAACGGCUUACCAAGGCAACGAUGCAUAGCCGACCUGAGAGGAUGAUCGGCCACACUGGAACUGAGACACGGUCCAGACUCCUACGGGAGGCAGCAGUAGGGAAUCUUCCGCAAUGGGCGAAAGCCUGACGGAGCAACGCCGCGUGAGUGAAGAAGGUCUUCGGGUCGUAAAACUCUGUUAUUAGGGAAGAACAUAUGUGUAAGUAACUGUGCACAUCUUGACGGUACCUAAUCAGAAAGCCACGGCUAACUACGUG
rnacentral:rRNA from 1 species